UACAGAGGCCUCAAGCGUUGUUCGGAUUCAUUGGGCGUAAAGGGUGCGUAGGUGGCUUGUUAAGUUGAAGGUGAAAUCUCGGGGCUCAACUCCGAAACUGCCUUCAAUACUGGCGAGCUCGAGGAUUGUAGAGGAGAAUGGAGUUCACGGUGUAGCAGUGAAAUGCGUAGAUAUCGUGAGGAAGACCAGUGGCGAAGGCGAUUCUCUGGGCAAUUCCUGACACUGAGGCACGAAGGCCAGGGGAGCAAACGGG
rnacentral:rRNA from 1 species